UUCACUUCAGUGUUUCCUAGUGCAAUGAACUUAUAAUUCAUACACAAGGAAAAAACAUCCUACGAUUAAACCAGAGACCCAGUUUGUUCAAUUUAUUUAUUUAUUAUCUGACUGCCCACUCUCUAUUUAACACUUAGUGUUUCUAUCUUGAGCAGGAUUCUCCGAGAGCAUUAAAAUUUACCCCACGGACGAGCAGAUUUUAUUGGAAAAACCCAAGGGUCGUUGGAAUUGUACUGCGGCAGGCUAGUACUAAUUUGAGGCAUUCAAAAAAUUCAGCAAUUAUCAUGUCCUGAUAUCAAAGGAAUGGGAACAUUCUUUCCAUCCCUUCGCACAGGUCUCUUCCCCUCUCACUUCCAUUGACUAUUUCGCAGAGCCUUUCACCAAAGGCCUCAUCUGCUGCUGAUUCUAGGGCACUGAUUCCCUGGCCCCAUUCCUGUUCCUGAAACUAUUUCCUUUGCAAUGUCACGAAAUAGGCGCUGCUGCUAAAAAAUAGACCAUACGGUAAGAAAAACAGAUUAAAUAUUUAUACAAUGACAAGCAUAAGCAAUUUUUUCUCGGACAGGGAGCACACAGAGCGGAGUUGACCGGAAAACUACACAGCAUACGAAAUUCAUCUCCACGAGAAAGAUGAAAGCAGAGGAACGCGCUAAUAGGCAACAAAAAAGGAGACCAAGCCCCACCUUAGAAUUCGGUUGUACUUCCAGCACAAAGAAAUUUAAAAAUUAAACACAGCUAAAGAACGCCGAUGAAAAAGUAACAGAGAGGAAUGGAUAGAUGCAAUGCUCUUCGGAACGGAGGGUAGAACAUGGAAAUUCGCACCUGCUCAGCGCUCGACGGAAGGGGAAAUCGGAGGGGGAGCAUGGCCAUGAUAGAGAAACAAGCCGGCCGGGAUGUCAGAGCUUCAUUCUCGAAACGUCCCCCCAGUCCCGUCUGUCGCCUUCCUCCUCUUGUCUUGGUCCUCCUCCUCCACCUUCCUGAGACGUCUAAUCCCUUCAAACCCCCCCCCCCCCUUCCGGAGGCGCUCACUCCUCCACAGCCGCUACUUCCAGUCCCACCUCCUUUCUCGUGGUGGUCGUUUUCCCCCCCUGCUGUUUUUGAUACCGGGGCUCCCGGACGCACAAGCGCCACAUAUAGAGACGGAUGGAGAGAGAAAGAGAGAGGGGGAGAGAGAGAGAGAGAGAGAGAGAGAGAGAACUCUUAUCACCCCCAGACAGGGAGACAACACCGCCCCUCGACCCUUCGCCACUCAAGCGAGGAAGACGACGACCCGAAGAGGAAACGUUCACUCACU
rnacentral:lncRNA from 1 species